CGUAAAGAGCUCGUAGGUGGUUUGUCGCGUUGUUCGUGAAAUCUCACGGCUUAACUGUGAGCGUGCGGGCGAUACGGGCAGACUUGAGUACUGCAGGGGAGACUGGAAUUCCUGGUGUAGCGGUGGAAUGCGCAGAUAUCAGGAGGAACACCGGUGGCGAAGGCGGGUCUCUGGGCAGUAACUGACGCUGAGGAGCGAAAGCGUGGGGAGCGAACAGGAUUAGAUACCCUGGUAGUCCACGCCGUAAACGGUGGGUACUAGGUGUGGGUUUCCUUCCUUGGGAUCCGUGCCGUAGCUAACGCAUUAAGUACCCCGCCUGGGGAGUACGGCCGCAAGGCUAAAACUCAAAGAAAUUGACGGGGGCCCGCACAAGCGGCGGAGCAUGUGGAUUAAUUCGAUGCAACGCGAAGAACCUUACCUGGGUUUGACAUGCACAGGACGCCGGCAGAGAUGUCGGUUCCCUUGUGGCCUGUGUGCAGGUGGUGCAUGGCUGUCGUCAGCUCGUGUCGUGAGAUGUUGGGUUAAGUCCCGCAACGAGCGCAACCCUUGUCUCAUGUUGCCAGCGGGUAAUGCCGGGGACUCGUGAGAGACUGCCGGGGUCAACUCGGAGGAAGGUGGGGAUGACGUCAAGUCAUCAUGCCCCUUAUGUCCAGGGCUUCACACAUGCUACAAUGGCCGGUACAAAGGGCUGCGAUGCCGCGAGGUUAAGCGAAUCCUUUUAAAGCCGGUCUCAGUUCGGAUCGGGGUCUGCAACUCGA
rnacentral:rRNA from 1 species